CAAAGUUGCGUCACAUAUUUUGCAUACUAAUUACUUUCGGAGCAAUGUGACGUCAUUGGCGGCAUCCCUUUGUACUCCAGAGUGGGGUCCUUCACUACUUGUGUCAGUGAAGGUAGCGACGAUAACAAGACAACUGUGGAUUGAGAGGGAUAUACAACUACCUGAAAAAUACAAGCAGAACUUCGAUGUUGUAUCCUUUUGUAUCCCACUUAAUCCACAGCUUUCUCAUUAAAGCUUAAGUCUGUUUUUUAAUUCACCAUAUCGUCACGUACUGUAGAGCAUUUUCUUUUUUGUUGAACUCAUUUGUUAUUCAGAAUAACAAAAAUAUACAGCUACGUUUUGGCACGAUAUACAGUUAAAGUGAAAAACAUGUUUUAGUUUUAAAAUAUUGAAAGAGACAUUUUAACCCGACUCAGUUGGAUGCGCAUAGUAUAGUUACGCCAAACUGGCUUAUUGGAAUUUAGUGAAAAAUAUUGUAAUAACUUGGCUUUGCCAGUUUGGGCAAAAGUCAACUGAGAAGUUUUGAUGAAGCUUUAAAGACUUGGAUACACAUACGGAUUUGACUUAAAAACAUUGUACUGUAAAAUCACAAGAAAUAUUUUGACCAUCUCGAAAGACUGUGAGUGAUAUACCCGAACAAAGGCUGUAAUGUUGUUAUCGUUGAAAGUAUAUACGUCGGAUUUGACGAACAGUUGCUGUAUAUGUUACCAUUUCAUCACUAAUGAUAAUGUAUGGCAUAUAUUUGUUGGUGAUUCAGCUGGAUCUGAAUGUUUCUGAUCAUAAUGUAACUGAUAUUAGGGAAUAAUGGUAAUAGGGUCUUCCACAAGCUAGUUGCAGUUCGAUUAUGUUGAAAUAUCGAUGAUUAGCGUGAUAUACCAUCAAUGAACAUGGUUACUUAAAUACAUCGUACUGUAAAGUCAAAAGAAAAUUGACGAGCACGUCGAAAGAUCGUGAGUUGUAUAACAAAAAUCGUGUAGUGUUUAUAUGGUUGAAACUCUACGCCUUUAGGAACAGUUCCUGUAUCGUGCCAUUAUUAUACAACGGUUGAAUGACUAAAAAACUAAAGGAUUUCAAACUCCUGAUCACAAUGUGACUGAUAUACGGGAAUAAUGGCAAAGCAAUUUGCGACAAGCUAGUUUCAGUUGGUACAUUUGGAAAAAUCGAUGAUUUGUAAAAGACAAACAAUAUAAGCAUAACUUGAAAACAUUGUAUUGGAAAGCUGAAAGUAAUGUCAACACCAUCUCGAAAGACCGUGAGUCGUUCGCGUGGACAAAAAUUGUGGAGUGUUCUCAUGAAAGUAUUCCCAUUUUUCAAACCGUCGUUGUAUUCCACGCUCGGAUGUACGUACCACUUAUGAUGUGUACAGCAUAUAAUGCGUGAUAUCAGUAUUUGUUGAAGAUAUAUUCAUGUGGAUUUUAUGAUUAUAAUCCUGAUCGCAAUGUACCGCAUCUAUGAGGAAUGGUAAUGUUAACUUUCAAGAAGCUAUGGUAGUUGGUAUACACUGACACAAUACGGCUGAUUUGUUGAACACAAGCAAUGCCCAAUAUAUUUAUUAUUAAAAUGAAGUGAUUUUUAUGGAAGGAUUAAAAACAAUACGGAGUUGGCGAAUGGUAGUAAUGAAAUGGACAAAUGGUCGGUGGUCCAACUACUAGAAACUAAAUUUGAGAAUUAUGGUGAAAAUGUGCAAGGAUUCCGUUGAAGAAACUUUCGUACCGAAAAACAAAAUUGAGAACAUCCAAAGAACCAGUUGAAUCUCGUAUUAAGCUUGGAGAAAAGCUUUAAUGAUUCUGGACUUUGUGUGGUCUUACUUACAAUGCCGGUUCUGGACUUGUUCGGUCUUAUACUUGGUGAUCUUGAGACUAGUAAGGAUUUGGUCUUCUCUAAUAUAAAGCAAUCAACGGUAUUGAUCAUGUGGUUAAAACGUGGAACAUAUAGCGCUGGUUAUUGGGUCGUGCUGGUACUUUGUUUGCCUUUGUUGGAGAACAAAGAAAACUGAACAAUUAAUCACCUUUAAAUACAAAUUAGUUCUAGUAUAAUUAUAUUGUUUGUAUAGAUAAUAAUAAUUAUUGUUGUAUAUAGUUUCUUCAAGAAUAUGAAUAAUA